AUUGAACGCUGGCGGCAGGCCUAACACAUGCAAGUCGAACGAGUGGCGGACGGGUGAGUAAUGUAUGGGGAACUGCCCGAUAGAGGGGGAUAACUACUGGAAACGGUGGCUAAUACCGCAUACCAUCGGAUGUACCCAUAUGGGAUUAGCUAGUAGGUGGGGUAAAGGCUCACCUAGGCGACGAUCCCUAGCUGGUCUGAGAGGAUGACUAGCCAAACUGGAACUGAGACACGGCCCAGACUCCUACGGGAGGCAGCAGUGGGGAAUAUUGCACAAUGGGCGCAAGCCUGAUGCAGCCAUGCCGCGUGUAUGAAGAAGGCCUUAGGGUUGUAAAGUACUUUCAGCGGGGAGGCGUUACCCGCAGAAGAAGCACCGGCUAACUCCGUGCCAGCAGCCGCGGUAAUAC
rnacentral:rRNA from 1 species